AGCUGGGGCGGACGCGUCCCUCACUCCGCGCAGGCCCCGCCCCUGGGGCGCGGCCACACCCUCCCGCGGAGCCCCGCCCCCGGCACGUGGACCUUGUCCCGGAAGACGGGAUUCCCCGCAGACCCCGCCGGCCGCCCCUUGGGCCCCGCGCCUCCGCCCGCCGCGGUCCCGGGGCUGCGCGGCCCGGCGGGGCACUCACGAGGGCACCUCGAGCGCGCGGCGCGCCUCCUCUUUGGCCAGGGCCUCGGCCAUCAUGUACAGGUGUCCGGGCAGCAGGGUCAGGUUGGACGGGAUGCGGAGCUGAGGGGCGAUGAGGCACCCGAGGGCGCCUGGACGUCAGGGAACGGGCGGCUGGUGCCCGCGUCACCGAGGGGACACCCUGAGGUCGGGGUGCGGGCCCAGGCAGCCAGGAUGGGAACCCGGGCCUGGGGGCUCCAGAGCGACCCUGCGCCUCCUCAGGGCAGGGGUGAAGAGACUUCAGGGAGGGGAAGGACAGAUCAGAUGCUCGAAUGUAGACUCUCAAAACUCUACAGGCUGCGGGGCCAGACAGGGGACAAAGGACUAAAGCACAGAUCAGGAAUGUUGACAAAAACUCCUGGCUCUUAAAUAAUGGCAGAUCACUUUCACAGUUUUAACACUUGGCAAAAGCAGAAGCCGUUUGCGGGCUGCGUUGGGCUCAGAGGCUGCCAGCGUGAGACCCCUGUAGGAGACUCUGGGGGCCUGGUUGAGGACUGUGGCAUCGAAGGAGAAAAGAGGGUCCCCGAGGAGGCACCCAGUCUUACCUCUACCACCGUCAGGAUGAAGCCUUUCCACAUCUCCCGAGACUCCAGGCUCUCUACCUGCGGAGGGACAGAAAAAGAGCCCAUGGCGAUGAGCCUCGGUCAAUUCAUCUGUGAAAUGGGAACGAGGAAUAAUAGCCACAGUUUUCCAAGGGUUCUUUUGAAGAUUAAACGAGUUGGGACCCGGGUUACUUUAGGAUGUCUGGACAUCAUAAGUCCUCAGGAAAGUGGGAUAGAAUUCUUUAAUGUUACUGCGUCAAGUUUGAAAACACUACAAAUCAGAUCCUGUAUCUCCAAUGCUCUAAACCCUCCCCGGGCUCCCGUCUGCUUUGGGGCGAAGAACCCAAGGCCUAGAGAAGUCAAGUGACUCGGCCAGUGUCACCAACCCAGCGGUAGCCUCCGUGCGACUCCAUGCUAGUGUGUGUUAGUGGACCUUGGCACUGGCCGUUUCCUCUGCCUGGAGACUCUUUCCCCAGAUCAUCACAGUUUCCUUCAUCACCUGCUUUGGGUCUUUGAACGAACGUCGCCUUCUCUGGGAGGCCCUCCCCAUCCAUGGCCCAACUUCUGGGGAUCUGUUGUUCUUUGAGAAAGGACCAAAGAAUCCUCCUUGAUGGAAUGGGGAAUGCAGAGCAGCGCCCCGCCCCCGCCCUGCCCCUGGCCAGUGUACAGAGGUAGGAGAUCCAGGAGUAAGUUGAACUAACCGUCCACCCACCCACCCAUCUAUGUACCCAUUUUCGCACACAUACACCCCCUUCUCCUUGUCCACCCCAUAAAUGUUUAUUGGGAUCUCCUGUGGGCCUGAGUCUGCGGUCUCAGAAUUUCACAAGGUUCUGGACUCUAGAAGUUAUUGCCGAUUCAGGAUUUGCCCCCAGGAUUCUGAAUUAUAAAUGUCCUAACUCUCUGGUGGUCCAAGGGGGCUGAUACAGCCCAGAUGGUAAGAGAAUGGGUUUGUUUGGUUUUUUUUCCAGCAAAUAUUCCCUGAACAUCUACUCUGCACCCAGUUCUGUUGCAGAGGCAAAAUACUACCUGGGACAUGGCUUCUGUUUCUAAAUAGGUUGUCUUCCAGAAGAAUAUAGAAAGCAUAGAUACUCGGGCACCUGGGGGGCUCAGUCGGUUGAGCGUCCAACCUCAGCUCAGGUCACGAUCUCACAGUUCGUGGGUUCGAGCCCGGCGUCGGGCUCUGCGCUGACAGCUCGGAGCCUGGAGCCUGCUUCUGAUUCUGUGCCUCCCUCCUCUCUCUCUCUGCCCCUCCCCCACUCACACACUGUCUGUCUCUCAAAAAUAAAUAAACGUUUAAAAACUAAAAAGAAAGCAUAGAUACUAAAUCUUCCAGGGAAGAGUAAUCAGUACCCCGAGAGGGACAAACCCUAGGCCUUGAGAUCUGGAGAAAGGCCCUCCAACUGGGAAAUCCGGGAAGACUUCCGGGAGGAGGAGGUACUUUCAUUAGUCCGUAAUGAUAAUGAGGAUAGUUUUCAUAUUGAUGCCCAGUAGCCAUCAUCAGUCCACCUGUCCAUCUGCCUGCCCAUCCAUCUCUUCAUCCACUUAUCUACCCACCCACCCAUCCGUCUCUAUGUCUGUCCAACCAUCGACAUACCCAUCCAUCCACCUACCCAUCUGUCCAUAGAUACAUUUAAGUGACAUUUACUGAGGACUUACCAUGUGCUCGGCCCUGGGAGCAGAGCAGUAAGUGAUUAAACUCAGCAGGUCAGACCUGCUUUGUCGUGUACCCACUAUACGCCAUUGCACAAGGUAUUUAAGCUCUCCGUGCCUCAGUUUCCCCACCCAUGAAAUGGCAAUAAAGAGGAACCUACCGCAGAGGCCGCUGAAAGAAUUGGGUGCGUUAAUACCAGUGAACAGCGUUUGCAGAGUCAGGACCCCAGACCCCUUCUCCAGUAACCAUGGUUACGGCCCUACUAUACCCAUUGUGUAAUAGAGAAAACUGAGGCACAACGAUGGAGAGUCCCUUGCACAAGGCCUGGGAGUCAGGAAGACGUGGGGACCCCUGUGGCCUAGAUGGUGUGUAGGCCUGAGGGGGGCGGUGGGGGGUGGGCACUUGGAGGCACAAGGAAAGGAGGAGGGGACCGCAAUCCGCAGUGGCGGUGGGGGUGGCCAGGGACCGCAGUGGGUGGGUGUUUGGGGUUGUAGCAGAAGAUGAGACAAGUGUGGGGGGUGGGGCGCCUCAGGGAAGGAGGCACUGGGCUUGCAUCCGUCUCUGGUCCUGCCAGAUGCGGCCCCCUCAGCUAUCUCUCCUGGCCUUGACCCCCCCCCCCCCGCAGCCGAGGCUCGGCUCAAGGUUAGUGUGGGGCUGGGAGCUAGGAGCCAGAAGGUUUUCCACUUCCUGGGGGAAGUCCCUGAUCUGUUUGUAUCCAAGAGACAGAGAAGAGAGACCAAGAGGGAGACAGAGGGAGGCAGACAGGCAGGGAGAGACACAGAGAAAGAGAUAAACCAGAGUCAGAGACAGCCAGAGGGUGGGCAGAACCUUUUCCAGCACCCCCAGCAGGCGCCCGGCCCCAGCCACUACCCUCCCCGCCCCCUCGGCCAGGUGUGAAGAUCCAGGCCCAGAGAGGACUGCGUUGGAUACGGGUGGCGAGCGUGAAUGAACAUCCUUGCCCUGUUCGCUCUGUUACGGGGAAAGCGUCUAGUCUUUCCGCAUCGAGUACAAUGUUAACUGCAGGUCCUGAGGAUUAGAACGUGAACAUCUUCAGGGAACCGUUAUUCCACGACCACAGCCUGUUAGAUAUGAUGGCUAACAUUGAUGGAUUGAUUCCUGAAUACUGAACCCGCUAUGCAUCCCUGGAGUAAACCCCACUCAGUCAUGCUCGCCCUGAGAAGGGAUCUGCGCUGACAGUGUGGAGCCUGCUUGGGAUUCUCUUUUCUCUCUCUCACUCUCUUCUCCUCCCCCGCUUACGCACGCACUCUCUCUCUCUCAAAAAAAAAAAAAAAAAAAAAAAAUUAAAUGAAUUGGAAAAUGUCCCCUCCUCUUCAAGCUUCUGGAAGACAUUUUUUUU